GAGCUCCCUCGCCGCGCGCUGAGCUGCAGAGAGGCGCCCGCCCCCACUGGACCCCAGGGACAAGUCCACCAGCACUCCAGGUAGGAGGCUGGGUGGACAUUUAAAAAAAAAAUUAAAAUAUAAUAAUUUGUGUGUGUCUGUGAGUGUGUGAGUAUGUGUCAGUGUGUGUGUGUGUCAGUGUGUGUGUGUGUGUGUGUCUGUGAG